rnacentral:rRNA from 1 species
UACGUAGGGCGCAAGCGUUGUCCGGAAUUAUUGGGCGUAAAGGGCGCGUAGGCGGCCUGGCAAGUGGAAGGUGAAAUCCCUCGGCUUAACCGAGGAACUGCCCUCCAAACUGCUUGGCUUGAGUCCGGGAGAGGUGAGUGGAAUUCCCAGUGUAGCGGUGAAAUGCGUAGAUAUUGGGAGGAACACCAGUGGCGAAGGCGGCUCACUGGACCGGAACUGACGCUGAGACGCGAAAGCGUGGGGAGCGAACAGG